UUCAUUCUAAUAACUAGAGUAGAACUAACACAAAUUGAUCAAAAAAAAAAAAAACGCGCGUACAUGACGUGAGACUAGCUAAAUUCUUCUUGGCUCGCAAAAUAUUUUUUUUAACAUGAAUUAUACACUGAAGAAACUAUGCUAAUCCAAAAACAUAUUUAUCAUUUGCAAUAUAAUUAACCAAAAAAAGAAGUUUGGAAGUUAAAACCACUUACCCUUAGGCACCUCCCACAUGCAGCCUGCCCUCGAGGUCCAGCAGGUCCACAAAAGGCAGUCCAACCAUAUUGCCUCCGCCACGAAAGGGGCUUGUUAGCAUCCCAUGUUGCACAAAAAACCCUAGCAGCGUUGAGGUCCCAAUUGAUAUUUUGGGGAUUGUACAAAUUGUAAGUGGCCCUAACAUUAGAAGCACUCUGGGAGUCAGCCACAGCAACAAAGAGGGUAAACGAAACGAUGCAAAGAAUUAGGGGAACCCUUUCCAUUUUGCUAUUUUUUGUCACAAGUUCUUCUUCUUGUAAAUUUUGAUGUAUGUGGCUUGCAUUUAUAGAGAAAUAGGUAGAGAUAGCAAAGUCGAAGAAGGAAACUCCAGCCCAUUUUCACUGAUGUGCUGUCAAAUUAAGAAGAGGAAACACUGGCAUAUGGAAUCUAGUUCAUUGUCAUCCUCUAGAAAGUCUUCGUGGAAUAUAACAAUAAAGACAAGAAAAUUGAAAUUAACAUGGUACGUAAUGUCGGUCAGUGAUUAUCCGAGCUUGACUCAACUUAUCGUUUUGACCCCCAAAAAAAAAAUUAUCCGAACUUGGCUGCUUUUCAUGACUAGGUCAGUCAAGUCAAGAUGUUAAUUAUUUGCGCAUUAUUUGAAAUAUUAUUUUAAAUAAUUACUAUAGCACUUUUUGUGAUAUGUGAGAUAAAAUACUAAUUAGAAAUAUAAAAAUGUGGAUUGAGAAAUGUGUUUAUGAUACAAGCAAAAUACUAUGUAAAAAAAAAAAAAAAAUUUAGCUAUCCAAACACUCUCAUAUAAAUUUGUUUAUAAUUCAAUUGACUAACAAAUAACGGAAAUAUUUGGCUUCUCUAUUUAGUUAUAAGAUUGACUAACCGAAUCUUAAGUUAAUUUGAAAAAGUCUUUAAAUAUAAGAAUACAAUAAAUAUAAAUAUGUAUAUUCAUAUGAAAUUUAGAUAUGCGAACGAGUACCAACUGAUCCCUUUCAAAAUAUUGAUUACUUUUCAAGUGUUUCAAACGGAACUAAUCGAAAACAAAAUCUAGUUGCGAUUUAAUCCUAGCAAUUAAGAAAAUCCUAGAUCGUGUGCUAGGCGGCGAGUUUGGCAAGGGCGGCUACGUUACGAAAAUGUGCGAAGACUGCCAAGUACAUUGCCACCCAAAGAUUUCUUCACACGGCAACCAAUGGAGAUGGCUCUUUCUAUAUUGGAGCUCUUCUUGGCUGCUCUAGCAUAUAUUUUAGAGGCUGGUCCAUAUUCCUUUUUUUUUGGUUUAAUCAAUAAGGAUUAUCAGGUUUUCUUUUCUUGUGGGUAAGGAAAUAAGGCUGCAAAGUUUGAAUAUUAUAGCCUAAUAGGCUAGUCUAUGUUGGACAUAUUUACCAAAGAAAAGUUGGGAUUACUACUCACUAGCCUCUGUUACUUGUUUGGUUAUCUAGUCAAUUUGUAGUUCUUUUUUUUUUUUUUUGUUAUUUAAGCUUCUUGUCCAACUUUUUAUAUUACUGUGUUUAUAGAUCACAAAAUCAAAUGUUGACUUAAGCUCCCAUGAUUCUUAUGAAAAAUGUGGAACUUUUUCUUUUCAAGAAUUAAAAAUUGUAUAUUACAUAAUAUGUAUGUAAAUAUAAAUUUCAUUAUCAAAUGAUAAUAUUAUACUACCUUAGCACACGUUUGUUAACAUAACAUCAAAGUAAAAUCAAUUACGAAAUGAGAGCAUUUAUUUUUUGAGGAAUGUAAAUCUAUCAUGAAGUGAGGGUGAAAGGGACUUUUCAUGCUAUUUUCCCCAUAUCCUCAUAUUUGACAGCAUGCCUUGUUCACUCCCAUUUCUUUUUAUCAUCUGUAUGGUAAAGUUAAGUUGCUUAUAUUCAGAGAUCAGCCUUCAUCGUAUAUAAGGUCGUAGCUUAUAUACAUAUUAUUAUGGCUUUUUUGCAAUCUACAAUAGCUUUAUUAUUGACUAUUGUUAAAGGCACACCCGAUGUGCUUGUAAUUUAGAAAUAACGAUUAUUUUUUUUAUGAAUUUGUAAAUCUUAUUUUUACACAAAUAAAUUUAUAAGAACUUUUCAUUAACAAACUUCAAUUUAUCAAUAAUUUUUUUUCUUUAAUUGAAAAAUAGAUAAUUUUGUAGUUGCAAUAUUCAAGGUAGUUAUGAGCGGUUAUGUUAGCAAAUGUGUAUCAGAUGAUUAGGGUAAAAAUAUUAGUUUUUCUAAGGAUAAAAUGAAAAGUGAAAAAAGGAUAGAAAAUGUUUACACCAAGUACUGUCACCGCUUUCCUUUUAUAUAUUGUAUAGAUAAUCAAUACACAACCAGCCAACCGGCAUAAACCCAACCUGGUACGUAUAUAUUAUUCAAAUUUAUUGAUUACAGGAAAUUUCAGUUUUCCCAUCACAUAAGACUGAGAGUAGUAGACGGCCUUAACAGUUAACAAAUUCAUAGUUGACUGUUAGGAAACCGUUGGCAAUGCCCUGGCCAUUAGUGUCAAUCUGCCGAAAGGGGCCAACGUCCAAAUCUAGCCCACCAUUGCUACAUUGAUCAACAAUCCUUACAACAACUUGAUCUCCAGUUGCGGUGUUAGUCACCUGCAUUAAAGAUUUAUAUGAGAUGUUUAAGAUUUAUAUAGCUUUUUCAGCUUUACUAGUUCUUGAAAACAUGCACAUAACUCUUAGUGUAAACCUACUACUCACUUUAGCUCUGGAUGUAUAAAGUGCUUUAAAAAGGAAAUCACUCUUCAGUUAGUUGAAAUGCCAAGAUUGACAGGCAAAGAGACCAAAAAGUGAAUUUUUUUUCUUUAAUGGACAUGAAAAGAGCAGAUUGAUAUGGUUGUGGAAGUGGAAAAAUAACAAUUGAUUUACAUAGAAUGAAUCCAACAAUGAUGGAAUUUUGUGCUUUAAAUGGACAUGAAGCGCUAAAUAGGAAACACAAAAGGUUUUCAAUAAUCUAAUUUCCCCCACACCAUAAAAUAUUUAAACACAGUAUUUUUUUUUUUUUUUUGGCCAAUGUUGUAUUAAAAUCCAACUAUUGCUGUUCUCAUUCUACUAACUAGAGUAGAACUAACACAAAUUAUUCUUGAAGCCAAAAAAAAAAAAAAAACACAUACACACACACAAACAAACAAAAAAAAGGUGAGACUAGCUAAAUUCCUCUUUACUAGUGAACAUUUUUCUCUGCACGACUUACACACUGAAGAAACUAUGGGAAUCCAGUAACAUAUUUAUCAUUGACAAACUAAUUAACCCAAAAAAAAAAAAAAAAGAAGUUGUCAAAGUUAAAACCACUUACCCUAAGGCACCUCCCGCAGGAAGCCUGACCAGUAGGUCCAGCAGGUCCACAAAAGGCAGUCCAACCAUAUUGGCUCCGCCACUGAAGGGACAUGUUAGCAUCCCAUGUUGCACAGUAGACCCCGGCACGGUUUAGGUCCCA
rnacentral:lncRNA from 1 species